GACGAACGCUGGCGGCGUGCUUAACACAUGCAAGUCGAACGGAAAGGCCCUGCUUUUGUGGGGUGCUCGAGUGGCGAACGGGUGAGUAACACGUGAGUAACCUGCCCUUGACUUUGGGAUAACUUCAGGAAACUGGGGCUAAUACCGGAUAGGAGCUCCUGCUGCAUGGUGGGGGUUGGAAAGUUUCGGCGGUUGGGGAUGGACUCGCGGCUUAUCAGCUUGUUGGUGGGGUAGUGGCUUACCAAGGCUUUGACGGGUAGCCGGCCUGAGAGGGUGACCGGCCACAUUGGGACUGAGAUACGGCCCAGAGUCCUACGGGAGGCAGCAGUGGGAAAUAUUGCACAAUGGGCGGAAGCCUGAUGCAGCAACGCCGCGUGCGGGAUGACGGCCUUCGGGUUGUAAACCGCUUUCGCCUGUGACGAAGCGUGAGUGACGGUAAUGGGUAAAGAAGCACCGGCUAACUACGUG
rnacentral:rRNA from 1 species